GACGAACGCUGGCGGCGUGCCUAACACAUGCAAGUCGAACGGAAAGGCCCUGCUUUUGUGCGGUUCUCGAGUGGCGAACGGGUGCGUAACACGUGAGUAUCCUGCUCUUGACUUUGGGAUAACUUCAGGAAACUGGGGCUAAUACCGGAUAGGAUCUCCUGCUGCAUGGUGGGCGUUGGAAAGUUUCGGCGGUCGGGGAUGGACGGGCGGCUUAUCAGCUUGCUGGUGGGGUAGUUGCCUACCCAGGCGAUGACCGGUAGCUGGCCUGAGAGGGUGAUCGGACAGACGGGAAGUGAGACACGGUCCAGACGCCUACGGGAGGCAGCAGUGGGGAAUAUUGGACAAGGGGCGCAAGCCUGAUCGAGCCAUACCGCGUGGGUGAAGAAGGCCUUCGGGUGGUAAAGCCCUGUUGUGGGGAAAGAAAAGCAGCAGGUUAAUACCCCGCUGGUGUGACGGUACCCAAAGAAUAAGCACCGGCUAACUUCGUG
rnacentral:rRNA from 1 species